GUCAGGCCAGCUCCCCUUUCUUCAUUCCUGUGCAGUCUCUCUGAGAGGGAAUUAGAGAGGAGAGAGAGAGAGAGAAUCAGCCUCCUAAAGUGAGAUGGCUUGGUAUUUGCGUCUCCUCUAUUGGUGGAGCUACGGAGGUAUCUCCUGAAAGUCACGUGAGUGUUUGUUAACCCCCAAAGCCAAGAGAGGGGAGCUGCAAGAGAGCCAUCCUUAGAGAUCGGGGGUAUCAGCCAGAAAGCGAGACUGCAUCUUGUUUUUUAUUGGAUCUUCUGCUUAUACAUGUCCUUGCUGAUCUGUCUCCAUGCCAUUUUAAGACAGAGGAAAAAAAAUUGGAAACAAACGGCAGAAGAGAGAGAGAGGGUGUGGCCUGUCCUUGAACCUUUGCACGGCAAAUAUAUGAGAAUGUUCCAGUUCAAAUAGACACUACAAACUGUCACUGGCCCUGAACUGGCCCCUGGUACCUCAGUUGUGCUGUUUCAUGAUGUAAUCAUUUUGAAAGAAUUUUAAGUUAAAAAUUGGAAUCUGAAUUUAAGUCAACAAGCAGCUGCAAAGUGUGGGACACCUAAUGCCAAAAACGGGAUCACAACUCCAUGGCAAGAUUCCUCCUUUACUUGGAGAUAAGUGCAAUUUCAGACUGCUAUUUGCAAGUACUUGCCUGUGCUGAUUCUCCUGCCCUCGCAAGCCUUCUACCGGCACCACUGCCUGUAACUCUAGUGGUGGCUAAGCUACGUGUUCUGAUGUUUUGCUGAUAAUUCACAUUUGCUGUUUUCCCAUCACAAUUACAUUCUCCAUGACUUUCAUUUUGUUUUGUUUUUCAGCAAUAGUUGUAAUUCAUGUAGUCGUAGGAUAUUUGUUUGAUGUAAACUCUUAGUCCUAUCUGGAGAUAUUUAAAACACUGUGAUCUUUGCAAGAACACGAGGAAUGAUAUUUAACACAAAGCUUUUCUUUUCACCGAGCCCACAUUAAGCCAAGGUAAUUUCGUUCCAUUUUGUGCAAUGUUCUCACUUGUGAUUAUUCCUGCAGGUUUCUCCUUUUCUUUUUUUAAUGACAACAACUAAAGGGCAACAAACAGCUGCUGGAGUUACGGUUGUCAGACAUUUUAGAUAGUUUUCUUCUUUGCAUGAAACAGUCCUAUUGAAAAUACCAGGUCGUGUAUAUGUUGAGAUUGCCACCCGCUGGUGAAAUAGAGAAUUUCCAUUUUAAUGAGUAAUUUAAGAAAACAUAUUUGUUUUCUGUUUCCAGAGUAUGAGUUUGUACGUUUAGGUUCUUUAAAAUUUCAGACUUCAUUAGAAAAACAACAAAUUUCAUUGCUAUGAAACAAUUUAGAGCUCCAAUGGAAAAAUUAAAAAGUCAUCAUUAUGAAAUCACUUAAAAACCUUUAUUUACCUGUCUUGUAGCCUCGACAAAGGGGGGAAGUGAAAAAAAAUCAUGGAAUUAAAUAUGCCAAAGCGCGGUCAGCGGUUGCUGUUGAAUACUAAGAUUAAGAGGGAGCAAAAUAAUUUUUGUUGCUUCUUUACACCUUUAUUUAGUCACAUUUUUUUUUGUCCACAGAAAGCUUGUAUUGCUUUAAAAGAAAAUAUAAAUCUGAAGAGGAAAAAUAACUAUAUGUGUGUAUAUGGAUCAAAAUGUAAGUCUUCAAUAACAGGACUUUAUGGGGUGUUAAAAAAAGCACCGCCCUAAAUCAGUGCCACAUUAAACUAGACACACACAAAAGGAGCAAAGGCGCGGAGACUGAACUGCAGCUUUCAGCACUCCACUGGCACAAAUUUUAAAUUCAAAUGCAG
ensembl:lncRNA